rnacentral:rRNA from 1 species
CCUACGGGGGGCAGCAGUGAGGAAUAUUGGUCAAUGGACGAGAGUCUGAACCAGCCAAGUAGCGUGAAGGAUGACUGCCCUAUGGGUUGUAAACUUCUUUUAUAUGGGAAUAAAAUGUUCCACGUGUGGGAUUUUGUAUGUACCAUAUGAAUAAGGAUCGGCUAACUCCGUGCCAGCAGCCGCGGUAAUACGGAGGAUCCGAGCGUUAUCCGGAUUUGUUGGGUUUAAAGGGAGCGUAGGUGGGUUGUUAAGUCAGUUGUGAAAGGUUGGGGCUCAACCGUAAAAUUGCAGUUGAAACUGGCAGUCUUGAGUACAGUAGAGGUGGGCGGAAUUCGUGGUGUAGCGGUGAAAUGCUUAGAUAUCACGAAGAACUCCGAUUGCGAAGGCAGCUCACUGGACUGCAACUGACACUGAGGCUCGAAAGUGUGGGUAUCAAACAGGAUUAGAUACCCUUGUAGUC